AAGUCGUAACAAGGUUUCCGUAGGUGAACCUGCGGAAGGAUCAUUAACACGUAUCCAAACGUUAAAACCCCCCCCCGUGAACCUUCAUCCUGCUCUUGUAACCCGCGUAGUUCGCAAUCUCUGAUAAAUCAUAGCCCGGAAAGUUGUAGUGAUUCAGAGACCUCUGGCUAGGUGCGAACAUUGGAACAGUUCCUGUAGACCGUACACUCGGGCAGGAGCUUUGCCAAAGGGUCCCCAUGCCCCCUAAUAACCCCACAGUUUAAUGUGAAGCUCAAUGUAAUACAUUGGGUAAAAAACCGAACAACUGUUAACAAUGGAUAUCUUGGUUCUC
rnacentral:misc_RNA from 1 species